CUAGUGGAGUACAUGUGGCGCUUGGAGCAUGUGCAUGGCUAUGGGACAAAUGGGGCGCACUAAAUGGGGACUUCUUGCAUGAAUGUCCACUUGUGCAUGCAUAAAUCAUGCAAGGUGGCGAGAGGAGCCCAAAGUGGGCUAGGUGUAAUGCCCAAAUGAAUUUAUGUGUAUGAAACAUACAUGCAGCGUGAACUUUAAAUGGCCAAGAAUGGUGCAGCGUGAACCCAAAGUGGCCAAGCAAGGUGCCGCGCAUGAAGCUUGCAAGGUGACUUCCAUGGAGGGGGCCAAAUGGGGCGGACAACGUGCAUGGAAUGGAAGCCCAACAUGCAGCGUGAAUGAUGAACAGCCCAUGUGGGGCGCACACAUGGCCAACAGCCCAAGUGGGGCGUGUGAGAAGUUGGCCAGCCCAUGGGAGCCAAGCACUUGGCGGCAAGUUUCCCUCCAUUUGCCCACUUGGAGUGUCGCGGCAGGAUGAGGUGUCAAUGCUGCCGGUUCCCCUUGUCCUUCCCAUUAUUAUUUUAAGUUGUAACUUAAAAGUGGCCACACAUUGGUGAUCAUUAGGGGCAGCCGGCCAAAAGCAUGUAAAUAUAAGGGAGUUUGUUCCCUUUCUUGUUCAUGUAGAUAGAGUGAGCUUGAGAGAGUGAGUU
rnacentral:misc_RNA from 1 species